GAUGAAGAACGUAGCGAAAUGUGAUAAGUAAUGUGAAUUGCAGAAUUCAGUGAAUCAUCGAAUCUUUGAACGCACAUUGCGCCCCUUGGUAUUCCGGGGGGCAUGCCUGUUCGAGCGUCAUUAUCACCCCUCAAGCUCAGCUUGGUGUUGGGGCUCACCGGUCACGGUGGCUCCUAAAGUCAGUGGCGGCGCCUCUAGGCCCUAAGCGUAGUAAUAUACCCUCGCUACAGGACCCUAGAGGAUGCUAGCCAGCAACCCCUAAUUUUUUUAAGGUUGACCUCGGAUCAGGUAGGGAUACCCGCUGAACUUAAGCAUAUCAAUAAGCGGAGGA
rnacentral:misc_RNA from 1 species